GACGAACGCUGGCGGCGUGCCUAAUACAUGCAAGUCGAGCGAACAGAUGAGGAGCUUGCUCCUCUGACGUUAGCGGCGGACGGGUGAGUAACACGUGGGCAACCUGCCCUUAAGACUGGGAUAACUCCGGGAAACCGGGGCUAAUACCGGAUAAUUGAAAGAACCUCCUGGUUCUUUUAUGAAAGGCGGCUUCGGCUGUCACUUAAGGAUGGGCCCGCGGCGCAUUAGCUAGUUGGUGAGGUAACGGCUCACCAAGGCAACGAUGCGUAGCCGACCUGAGAGGGUGAUCGGCCACACUGGGACUGAGACACGGCCCAGACUCCUACGGGAGGCAGCAGUAGGGAAUCUUCCGCAAUGGGCGAAAGCCUGACGGAGCAACGCCGCGUGAGUGAUGAAGGUCUUCGGAUCGUAAAACUCUGUUGUUAGGGAAGAACAAAUUUGUUAGUAACUGAACAAGUCUUGACGGUACCUAACCAGAAAGCCACGGCUAACUACGUGCCAGCCGCCGCCGUAACAC
rnacentral:rRNA from 1 species